rnacentral:rRNA from 1 species
UUAAGCGACUAAGCGUACACGGUGGAUGCCCUGGCAGUCAGAGGCGAUGAAGGACGUGCUAAUCUGCGAAAAGCGUCGGUAAGGUGAUAUGAACCGUUAUAGCCGGCGAUGUCCGAAUGGGGAAACCCAGUGUGAUUCGUCACACUAUCGUUAACUGAAUACAUAGGUUAACGAGGCGAACCGGGGGAACUGAAACAUCUAAGUACCCGAGGAAAAGAAAUCAACCGAGAUUCCCCCAGUAGCGGCGAGCGAACGGGGAGCAGCCCAGAGUCUGAAUCAGCUUGUGUGUUAGUGGAACGGUCUGGAAAGUCCGACGGUACAGGGUGAUAGUCCCGUACACCAAAAUGCACAGGUUGUGAACUCGAAGAGUAGGGCGGGACACGUGGUAUCCUGUCUGAAUAUGGGGGGACCAUCCUCCAAGGCUAAAUACUCCUGACUGACCGAUAGUGAACCAGUACCGUGAGGGAAAGGCGAAAAGAACCCCGGCGAGGGGAGUGAAAAAGAACCUGAAACCGUGUACGUACAAGCAGUGGGAGCACCUUCGGGUGUGACUGCGUACCUUUUGUAUAAUGGGUCAGCGACUUAUAUUCUGUAGCAAGGUUAACCGUAUAGGGGAGCCGCAGGGAAACCGAGUCUUAACUGGGCGUUAAGUUGCAGGGUAUAGACCCGAAACCCGGUGAUCUAGCCAUGGGCAGGUUGAAGGUUGGGUAACACUAACUGGAGGACCGAACCGACUAAUGUUGAAAAAUUAGCGGAUGACUUGUGGCUGGGGGUGAAAGGCCAAUCAAACCGGGAGAUAGCUGGUUCUCCCCGAAAGCUAUUUAGGUAGCGCCUCGUGAAUUCAUCUUCGGGGGUAGAGCACUGUUUCGGCUAGGGGGUCAUCCCGACUUACCAACCCGAUGCAAACUACGAAUACCGAAGAAUGUUAUCACGGGAGACACACGGCGGGUGCUAACGUCCGUCGUGAAGAGGGAAACAACCCAGACCGCCAGCUAAGGUCCCAAAGUCAUGGUUAAGUGGGAAACGAUGUGGGAAGGCACAGACAGCCAGGAUGUUGGCUUAGAAGCAGCCAUCAUUUAAAGAAAGCGUAAUAGCUCACUGGUCGAGUCGGCCUGCGCGGAAGAUGUAACGGGGCUAAACCAUGCACCGAAGCUGCGGCAGCGACACUAUGUGUUGUUGGGUAGGGGAGCGUUCUGUAAGCCUGCGAAGGUGUGCUGUGAGGCAUGCUGGAGGUAUCAGAAGUGCGAAUGCUGACAUAAGUAACGAUAAAGCGGGUGAAAAGCCCGCUCGCCGGAAGACCAAGGGUUCCUGUCCAACGUUAAUCGGGGCAGGGUGAGUCGACCCCUAAGGCGAGGCCGAAAGGCGUAGUCGAUGGGAAACAGGUUAAUAUUCCUGUACUUGGUGUUACUGCGAAGGGGGGACGGAGAAGGCUAUGUUAGCCGGGCGACGGUUGUCCCGGUUUAAGCAUGUAGGCUGGUUGUCCAGGCAAAUCCGGAUAAUCAAGGCUGAGGUGUGAUGACGAGGCACUACGGUGCUGAAGUAACAAAUGCCCUGCUUCCAGGAAAAGCCUCUAAGCAUCAGGUAACAUCAAAUCGUACCCCAAACCGACACAGGUGGUCAGGUAGAGAAUACCAAGGCGCUUGAGAGAACUCGGGUGAAGGAACUAGGCAAAAUGGUGCCGUAACUUCGGGAGAAGGCACGCUGGUGUGUAGGUGAAGUCCCUGCGGAUGGAGCUGAGACCAGUCGAAGAUACCAGCUGGCUGCAACUGUUUAUUAAAAACACAGCACUGUGCAAACACGAAAGUGGACGUAUACGGUGUGACGCCUGCCCGGUGCCGGAAGGUUAAUUGAUGGGGUUAUCCGUAAGGAGAAGCUCUUGAUCGAAGCCCCGGUAAAACGGCGGCCGUAACUAUAACGGUCCUAAGUAGCGAAAUUCCUUGUCGGGUAAGUUCCGACCUGCACGAAUGGCGUAAUGAUGGCCAGGCUGUCUCCACCCGAGACUCAGUGAAAUUGAACUCGCUGUGAAGAUGCAGUGUACCCGCGGCAAGACGGAAAGACCCCGUGAACCUUUACUAUAGCUUGACACUGAACAUUGAGCCUUGAUGUGUAGGAUAGGUGGGAGGCUUUGAAGCGUGGACGCCAGUCUGCGUGGAGCCAACCUUGAAAUACCACCCUUUAAUGUUUGAAUGUUCUAACGUUGGCCCCUUACCGGGGUUGCGGACAGUGUCUGGUGGGUAGUUUGACUGGGGCGGUCUCCUCCCAAAGCGUAACGGAGGAGCACGAAGGUUAGCUAAUCCUGGUCGGACAUCAGGAGGUUAGUGCAAUGGCAUAAGCUAGCUUGACUGCGAGCGUGACGGCGCGAGCAGGUGCGAAAGCAGGUCAUAGUGAUCCGGUGGUUCUGAAUGGAAGGGCCAUCGCUCAACGGAUAAAAGGUACUCCGGGGAUAACAGGCUGAUACCGGCCCAAGAGUUCAUAUCGACGGCGGUGUUUGGCACCUCGAUGUCGGCUCAUCACAUCCUGGGGCUGAAGUAGGUCCCAAGGGUAUGGCUGUUCGCCAUUUAAAGUGGUACGCGAGCUGGGUUUAGAACGUCGUGAGACAGUUCGGUCCCUAUCUGCCGUGGGCGCUGGAGAAUUGAGGGGGGCUGCUCCUAGUACGAGAGGACCGGAGUGGACGCAUCACUGGUGUUCGGGUUGUCAUGCCAAUGGCACUGCCCGGUAGCUAAAUGCGGAAGAGAUAAGUGCUGAAAGCAUCUAAGCACGAAACUUGCCCCGAGAUGAGUUCUCCCUGAGACUUUAAGUCUCCUGAAGGAACGUUAAAGACGAUGACGUUGAUAGGCCGGGUGUGUAAGCGCAGCGAUGCGUUGAGCUAACCGGUACUAAUGAACCGUGAGGCUUAACCUU